GUGAAAUUCUUUAUUACUCAGUAUUAAUUAGCAUUUUUAACUUGAUAUAUGUAAUGCAAGUAUGAACACAUGUAUUAUACAUAGUAAAAUUUCUUCUUGAUUUUGUACUCAUUCAUAAUCAAUGUAAGCUUGAUAAUUUAUUGCUUAUGUUGUUUGCUUCUGCUCUAUGAAUUAGUUGGAUGAUAUCUGUCUUCCUGUCACAAAUCAGC
rnacentral:misc_RNA from 1 species